rnacentral:rRNA from 1 species
GACGAACGCUGGCGGCGUGCCUAACACAUGCAAGUCGAACGGUCUGAUGUUCAACACUGAAUUUUUAGCAGUGUAGCCAAGCGUCAAGCGCGAAAGAAGAGAGCGCUUCACGCAUUUAAAAAGUGCUAACACAAAAGCGAAAGAUUGAGUGUUGAAUAUCAGAUAGUGGCGAACGGGUGAGUAACGCGUAGACAACCUACCUUCUAGAUGGGGACAACACUGCGAAAGUGGUGCUAAUACCGAAUGUUGUAUUUUGGGUGCAUGCCUAAAAUACUAAAGGUGGCCUCUAUUCAUAAGCUACCACUAGAAGAUGGGUCUGCGUCUGAUUAGCUAGUUGGUGAGGUAACGGCUCACCAAGGCGACGAUCAGUAGCCGGUCUGAGAGGAUGAACGGCCACACUGGGACUGAGACACGGCCCAGACUCCUACGGGAGGCAGCAGUGGGGAAUCUUCCGCAAUGGACGAAAGUCU